AGUGAACGCUGGCGGUAGGCCUAACACAUGCAAGUCGAACGGCAGCACAGUAAGAGCUUGCUCUUACGGGUGGCGAGUGGCGGACGGGUGAGGAAUACAUCGGAAUCUACUUUUUCGUGGGGGAUAACGUAGGGAAACUUACGCUAAUACCGCAUACGACCUACGGGUGAAAGCAGUGGAUCUUCGGACCUUGCGCGAUUGAAUGAGCCGAUGUCGGAUUAGCUAGUUGGCGGGGUAAAGGCCCACCAAGGCGACGAUCCGUAGCUGGUCUGAGAGGCUGAUCAGCCACACUGGAACUGAGACACGGUCCAGACUCCUACGGGAGGCAGCAGUGGGGAAUAUUGGACAAUGGGCGCAAGCCUGGUCCAGCCAUACCGCGUGGGUGAAGAAGGCCUUCGGGUUGUAAAGCCCUUUUGUUGGGAAAGAAAAGCAGCAGGUUAAUACCCCGCUGUUCUGACGGUACCCAAAGAAUAAGCACCGGCUAACUUCGUG
rnacentral:rRNA from 1 species